rnacentral:tRNA from 1 species
GCCCGGGUGGUGAAAUUGGUAGACACAAGGGAUUUAAAAUCCCUCGAUAGCAAUAUCGUGCCGGUUCAAGUCCGGCUCCGGGUA